AGAGUUUGAUCCUGGCUCAGGAUGAACGCUGGCGGCGUGCCUAACACAUGCAAGUCGAACGAAGCACCUUUUGAGAUUCUUCGGAUGAUUGAUUGGUGACUGAGUGGCGGACGGGUGAGUAACGCGUGGGUAACCUGCCCUGUACAGGGGGAUAACAGCUGGAAACGGCUGCUAAUACCGCAUAAGCGCACGAGGAGACAUCUCCUAGUGUGAAAAACUCCGGUGGUACAGGAUGGGCCCGCGUCUGAUUAGCUGGUUGGCAGGGUAACGGCCUACCAAGGCAACGAUCAGUAGCCGGUCUGAGAGGAUGAACGGCCACAUUGGAACUGAGACACGGUCCAAACUCCUACGGGAGGCAGCAGUGGGGAAUAUUGCACAAUGGGGGAAACCCUGAUGCAGCGACGCCGCGUGAGCGAAGAAGUAUUUCGGUAUGUAAAGCUCUAUCAGCAGGGAAGAUAAUGACGGUACCUGACUAAGAAGCACCGGCUAAAUACGUGCCAGCAGCCGCGGUAAUACGUAUGGUGCAAGCGUUAUCCGGAUUUACUGGGUGUAAAGGGAGCGCAGGCGGUGCGGCAAGUCUGAUGUGAAAGCCCGGGGCUCAACCCCGGUACUGCAUUGGAAACUGUCGUACUAGAGUGUCGGAGGGGUAAGCGGAAUUCCUAGUGUAGCGGUGAAAUGCGUAGAUAUUAGGAGGAACACCAGUGGCGAAGGCGGCUUACUGGACGAUAACUGACGCUGAGGCUCGAAAGCGUGGGGAGCAAACAGGAUUAGAUACCCUGGUAGUCCACGCCGUAAACG
rnacentral:rRNA from 1 species